AUUGAACGCUGGCGGCAGGCCUAACACAUGCAAGUCGAGCGGAGCGGCGGACGGGUGAGUAAUGCCUAGGAAUCUGCCUGGUCGUGGGGGAUAACGUCAGGUAACGGGCGCUAAUACCGCAUACUAUCAGAUGAGCCUAGGUCGGCAUAGCUAGUUGGUGGGGUAAAGGCCUACCAAGGCCACGAUCCGUAACUGGUCUGAGAGGAUGAUCAGUCACACUGGAACUGAGACACGGUCCAGACUCCUACGGGAGGCAGCAGUGGGGAAUAUUGGACAAUGGGCGAAAGCCUGAUGCAGCCAUGCCGCGUGUGUGAAGAAGGCCUUCGGAUGGUAAAGCACUUUAAGUUGGGAGGCGUUACCAGCAGAAGAAGCACCGGCUAACUUCGUGCCAGCAGCCGCGGUAAUAC
rnacentral:rRNA from 1 species